ensembl:lncRNA
CCAUUAUUGAAAUUGUUGAGCAUAUUUCGUGCUCAGGAGAAAUACCGUCUUCUUAGCUUUCUUGGCUUGCAGAGGAAAUCCCUUGUGCCCGGUCCAGAGGAACUGUCUGGCUGGGGGCAGAAAAAACGGCUUAGGAAGUUAAAAGUCAGCAAUUAUUCACUCACAGCACGACGUAAACCUCGUGCACAAGACGUCCCAUUGAGAUUCGGAACCAGUUUAGGAGUGCUUGCCGCCAUUAAUCCUACUCUAUCCCUCUGUGACAUGAGCAGAAUGGACUUGCUGAACAGACCAGUGAAAGUAGAACCUUGGAACCAAGAAAGGUCCAAAAGGAAAAGACAUGAUCCUGCAGGGCAAACUGUGCAGCCAAUUGCAAGAGCUACACGUAGCAGGUCAUUGCUGCAGACAGACUCCAGUGCAAACGAUCGACCUCUCAGACGCCACCACAGAAAUCAAGAUAAAGCACCUUCCCAACCUGCACGAAGAGGUAGAGUACCAGCACACAAUGCCUCUUCCCCUUCAAAAAGCACUAUGCUCAGGAUAAAGCAUGAAUCUUCGGACAGUGCCAUCCUGCAACCUAUUCACCGUCGCAAUACUGCCUACAACCCACAGGGAACUUCUCCUAAAGCACCAGGACGUAGGGGUCGCCCACCAGCAGAUCGCACAGUUAGGGUAGCCACAACAAAGUUGCAGCACACAAAGCGGCACAAACCUGGGCGCCCCCCAUUAGACAAACCUAAGAGCUCAAAACAAAUAGAAAGCAAAACACAAUGCAACCAUGCUACAGGAAUGCCACAAGCAAAUCACAGCAGAACUGAAAGCGGAACACCGGUGAAGGAGAACAGAAAGAUUAAGGAACGCGGGAACAGAAAAGACAGUCCUGAAGUUCAGUAUGCCAUCGUGAACUGGGAUACUUCCAACCAUCAGCAGCUUCACAGCCAUCCCCUUUACAAAACGAUAAAGGAAGAACCAGCUGAGCCCUUGCCCCUAACCCAACCAUUCCCACCCAGUGACUCCUUGGAUCUGGGCAAGCGUCAGAGCAAACCACCCAUCAAACUGUUGGAUCAAGGCUUCCUAUUCGGCUUCUGUCGACCACCAAGUGGCAUUAAACGGGAGGAGGAGAGUGUGGACAUCUACCUGACUCGGUCGGUCUCUCAUGGAAGUAGUUCCAAUUGCGAUUCAUCACCUGGCAUGGUGAGAAGAGAUCGGGUUAGGGCCAGGAUUCUGCCAGACCGGACCGGUCUAAAUGGGCCUCACUGGGCUGGACUUGGCAACAGGCACUCACCCUUUUCCCAAAGGACUGCUAUUCGAGUAAAGACUGAGAGGGAUGAAACAGGAGUGUCCCAAGUGUCAAAGGUUUGCAGAGUCUCUAGACACCCCCAGGUCAGCAAGAGGAGCUGUAAAAUUAAGAAGGAACCUACAAAGACAAAGAAUGUAAAUAAGCUGCUUCCUCUGAGCAGUCGCCAUUCCGUCCUACUGGAAACCAUCCGACGGACACGUCUGAAACAGCAGAAGGGUCCUCGUGGUCAGGCCUCCAGUGGAGCACAUGCUUGCCUGCAGUGCAGAGGCUCCUACAGGGACUGUGAUGCCCUUAUUAUGCACCGGAUCAGGCACAUUGAAGGCAAACACUGGCCCUGCCCGUUGUGCAGCAAAACUUUCUUCAGACAGAGAAAUGUGAGGAAUCACAUAAGGACACAUAAUCCCAAGAUCUACAAAUGCCGCCAGUGCAUUGCUGCUCAGUGAGGUCAGUCUGAAAUCCAGAGAUGUUCUCAAUAUUGCUGUAGGUUUUUGAAUUUCCAUGAGAAUUUAAAUAGUUGUGUCCUUAAUUUCAGGUAAAAAGCCACAAUCUUAAAUGAAGAGGAGCAAAGCUUUGUUUCUUUAAAUAUUAAUGCUGUAAAUACCAAGUAUCUGUGAUGUAUGACAAUGAGGUUCAAUUUAUGUAAAUAAUGUUAUGAUGGUUUAAAUUGUCUUUUUCCUCACAAUAAUUGUUGUUAUUUAAGUAACUAAGCUAUUAAGAAGUUGCUUUGCAAUUGCUACAGAUGUGUUGAACCAGAACUUGAACCCAUGGUGUAUUUCUCAGGGGGGCGGAGCCUGAUGGUCAAGGUGAUAUAUGUAUAAUGAGAAUUGUGUAGAAUGCUUUAAAUUUGUUACUACUACAGUUAUUACUAUUGUUAUUAUUUUUUAUAAAUGGCAUAGUCUUGAGUGCACUUAAUGUUCGCUUUGUUUUGAAACCUAAGAAAGAUGCGAUGGACUGGGAUGUACUUGAAUGAUUGUUGGAGUGUAGCCAGUGGACUGCCCUAAAUGUGUGGUUGUCUGGCAGUGUUUUAGAAAACCAUUACAGAAAUUAGUCAGGAAUUUUAAAAUGAAGGUUUGUUAAUGGAGUUAAGAGUUAUAAAAAAAUAAAUAAAAUGGUUAACCUACAUUGGUUAAAUACCAAUUGUUUGUGAAAACAAUUGUUUGACUACAGCUUUUCAAAAUGAGACAGUGACUGUGUCUUUUAAGGGAAUCCCAAAAUGUCUAAUGUCCCCUCCUCCUCCUCCUCUGAAAAUUCCUUGUCUGGCUUUUUAUGCAUAUCCUUCUUUAACAUAAAAUGCAAUGGACUUGUAUGAAGACGUUUUAAAUGUUGAGGUGUUUUGUCUGAAAACACAAGUUUGAAAUGUAGAACGACCAAAUAGCCAUAUAAAUAAAUUUUGAAUUUUAAAAUUUA